rnacentral:lncRNA from 11 species
GGUGUUCCUGCCCCAAAAGCCCAGUCGUAUUCCUCUGACUCCUUUAACGUCUCAUGGACUAAGCCAGAGUACCCGAAUGGAUUUAUCACUAGUUAUGGGAUUGUAUAUGAAUGGCAUAUUGGUUCAGAACUCCUCCCAAAUGACCUAUUAUAGAUCUGGACUUUCUCCUUGGAGUCUGCAUUCCUUCAGAGUGCAAGCAUGUACUGCAAAAGGCUGUGCUUUAGGCCCACUGGUGAGUACCUCAAUUUACAUUCUGAGACUGUAAUAAAUGUCAGA